rnacentral:rRNA from 1 species
GAUGAACGCUGGCGGUAUGCUUAACACAUGCAAGUCGAACGGACUCUUCGGAGUUAGUGGCGGACGGGUGUGUAACGCGUGAGAAUCUGGCUUUGGGUUCGGGACAACCACUGGAAACGGUGGCUAAUACCGGAUGUGCCGAGAGGUAAAAGAGAAAUUGCCUGAAGAUGAGCUCGCGUCUGAUUAGCUAGUUGGUGAGGUAAAGGCUCACCAAGGCAGCGAUCAGUAGCUGGUCUGAGAGGAUGACCAGCCACACUGGGACUGAGACACGGCCCAGACUCCUACGGGAGGCAGCAGUGGGGAAUUUUCCGCAAUGGGCGAAAGCCUGACGGAGCAAUACCGCGUGAGGGAAGAAGGCUCUUGGGAUGUAAACCUCUUUUCUUAGGGAAGAACAAAAUGACGGUACCUAAGGAAUCAGCAUCGGCUAACUCCGUG